CAAAGGAUGUUCUUUGAGAAUAGAUUGAAACAGGCAGAAGGAAUGGCAGCAGAAAACCAGUAAUCUUCCAAGUCAAUAAGAGGGAGAUUUUGUCCCUUCAGGCUCAGAGUAGUGAAGCUAUCUCCAAUAUAUGCCUGGAUCUUCAGUGAAUAAAGAAACAGCCACUUAUUUGCUGCUGAGAAGGGAAGAGAAAGGAAGAA